GUACACUUGGGGCUACAACUAUAGGAUAUACUACUGUCUGUACACUGGGGGCUACAACUAUAGGAUAUACUACUGUCUGUACACUGGGGGCUACAACUAUAGGUUAUA